rnacentral:rRNA from 1 species
UACGAAGGGGGCUAGCGUUAUCCGGAAUCAUUGGGUUUAAAGGGUCCGUAGGCGGUUUAAUAAGUCAGUGGUGAAAGCCCAUCGCUCAACGGUGGAACGGCCAUUGAUACUGUUAAACUUGAAUUAUUAGGGAGUAACUAGAAUAUGUAGUGUAGCGGUGAAAUGCUUAGAGAUUACAUGGAAUACCAAUUGCGAAGGCAGGUUACUACUAAUGGAUUGACGCUGAUGGACGAAAGCGUGGGUAGCGAACAGGAUUAGAAACCCUGGUAGUCC